rnacentral:lncRNA from 1 species
CAAAAAUUGACACUCUCCUUAGGAAUAACUUCCUAGCUCUGGUGGCAGUCAACCUCAGGAAUAGGUUCCCCAUGCUGCUGCUUAUGAAACAGAGUAACUGAACUAUUCCAGACCUUCAAUCCCACCUACCUUUCUUGGAAAUGACACUGCUGCCACCUACUAUGAAUGGGAGACAGAAACCUGGGACAGAUUCCCCAGGUCUCUGAUGCUGAAUGUGCCCUGGAGAGAGAUGUGGAUGCUCACAGUGGCCCAGCAUGGUUCUUGGCACUGGUGCUUGGAGGAGGCAGGGGGACUACAGAGCCUGAGGAGAUAAGUAGCAAGCUGCUGGCUUCCAAGUGGUGCAGAGUGGCUCCAAGUCUUCCUAUGUGA